rnacentral:rRNA from 1 species
GGGGAAUUUUGGACAAUGGGGGGAACCCUGAUCCAGCCAUGCCGCGUGAGUGAAGAAGGCCUUCGGGUUGUAAACUGCUUUUGUACGGAACGAAAAGCCUCGCUCUAAUACAGGGGGGUGAUGACGGUACCGUAAGAAGAAGCACCGGCUAACUAGGUGCCAGCAGCCGCGGUAAUACGUAGGGUGCAAGCGUUAAUCGGAAUUACUGGGCGUAAAGCGUGCGCAGGCGGUUUUGUAAGACAGUGGUGAAAUCCCCGGGCUCAACCUGGGAACUGCCAUUGUGACUGCAAGGCUGGAGUGCGGCAGAGGGGGAUGGAAUUCCGCGUGUAGCAGUGAAAUGCGUAGAGAUGUGGAGGAACACCAAUGGCGAAGGCAGCCCCCUGGGUCGAUACUGCCGCUCAUGCACGAAAGCGUGGGGAGCAAACA